AAUCAUUAGUCUCUUAAUUAGAGACUAGAAUGAAUGGUUUAACAUUUCCUUAACUUUUUUAAUAAUAAAUAUAAAAAUUAUAUUAAAUAUAAAAAUAUAUUUCUGAAAUAAUUAGACGACAAGACCCUUUCAAACUUUACUAAAGUUUAGCUGGGGUAGCUACAUAAUUAUAAUCUUACUAAUCUUAAAUAAAAGACCCAAUAUAAAUUGAUUAAAUGAACAAGUUACUGAAGGGAUAACAGCAUAAUAAAUUUAUAUAGCUCUUAUUAAAAAAUUAGUUUAUGACCUCGAUGUUGAAUUAUUUUACUCCUAAACGCAAGAGUAUAGAAAGUAGGUCUGUUCGACCUUUAAAUUUU
rnacentral:rRNA from 1 species